AUGGACUUCUUCAGUGUUUUGCUAGUGAUCCUGUGGCUUCAGUUUAUCAGGGUGAGCAGCCAGCAGAAGGAGGUGGAGCAGAGUCCUGAGACCCUCAGUGUUCCAGAGGGAGCCAUUGCCUCUUUCAGCUGCACUUACAGGGACAGUGCUUCUCAGAACUUCAGGUGGUACCGACAGUAUCCUGGGAAAGGCCCCAAGUUGCUGAUGUCCAUAUACUCUAGUGGUGACCAAGAAGAAGGGAGAUUCACAGUGCAGCUCAACCGAGCCAGCCGGCAUGUUUCCCUGUACAUCAGAGACUCCCAGCACAGUGACUCAGCCACCUACCUCUGCGCAGCGAGCACACAGUGCUUCCCAGGCACCUGCAGCCUGAACCCAAACCACAGGGCCCCAGGCAGGCCUGAGGCAGAGCAGAGACCACAGGGCAGGAGAUUUUAUACCUGCUCCAGAUGCAGUAGGAAUUAA